rnacentral:rRNA from 1 species
UACACUCCUACGGGAGGCAGCAGUAGGGAAUCUUCCACAAUGGGUGCAAACCUGAUGGAGCAAUGCCGCGUGAGUGAAGAAGGUCUUCGGAUCGUAAAGCUCUGUUGUUAGAGAAGAACACGUGCUAGGUAACUACUAGCGCCUUGACGGUAUCUAACCAGAAAGUCACGGCUAACUACGUGCCAGCAGCCGCGGUAAUACGUAGGUGACAAGCGUUGUCCGGAUUUAUUGGGCGUAAAGGGAGCGCAGGCGGUCUGUUUAGUCUAAUGUGAAAGCCCACGGCUUAACCGUGGAACGGCAUUGGAAACUGACAGACUUGAAUGUAGAAGAGGAAAAUGGAAUUCCAAGUGUAGCGGUGGAAUGCGUAGAUAUUUGGAGGAACACCAGUGGCGAAGGCGAUUUUCUGGUCUAACAUUGACGCUGAGGCUCGAAAGCGUGGGGAGCGAACAGGAUUAGAUACCCUGGUAGUCCCAUGA